UUUGAUUUUUUACUGAUAGUUCUUUUUUUUUGUCAGACCUGGGGUUGGCAAGACUACUGUUAUUAGGGAGAUGGCACGCGUUGUAGCAGAUGAGUUUCAAAAAAGAAUGAUUGGAGGAGUCGAAACUGUUACUCUUGGUGACGAGGAAGCUCGUGCACGACGCACUCUGAGAAGUAUCCUGGAGAGGAAGGCCCCUCCAACGUUCCCUUUCCUUAUUGAGUUGAGGGAGCGACACUAUUGGGGGACUCAAUGUGGACAAGUAUCAAACUGAGAGGAGUGUGGAUAUGCUACUUCAUGGAAAGAAGCGACUGGUUGAGGUGAUAACUUCUCUAUCAAGAAUGUCUGCCAGUUCUGUAAUGUAGUAAAUUUCAUGGCUUGGUAGAAGAGUGGCAGUUUCCUGUAGUUUGCUUUACCUGUAAAUUUCUAUAUCGUUGUGCGAGUUUCUAUGGGUGUUUGAACUAUAUGCCAAUUUCAUUUUCUAUGCCAAUUUGGAUUGGCAUUCCCUGAGUGGAAUCAACUCUAUAUUUAUGUAGCCUUUCAGCGCUUUUCUCUGGGAACCAAUGCUUGACAGUUAACUUGAAGACAUCCAAUUAUUUUCUGUUGUCAUAAUCUCG